rnacentral:rRNA from 1 species
ACGUAGGGGGCAAGCGUUAUCCGGAUUCAUUGGGCGUAAAGCGCUCGUAGGCGGUCUGUUAGGUCGGGAGUUAAAUCCGGGGGCUCAACCCCCGCUCGCUCUCGAUACCGGCAGACUUGAGUUUGGUAGGGGAAGGUGGAAUUCCUAGUGUAGCGGUGGAAUGCGCAGAUAUUAGGAAGAACACCAGUGGCGAAGGCGGCCUUCUGGGCCAUAACUGACGCUGAGGAGCGAAAGCUAGGGGAGCAAACAGGAUUAGAUACCCGGGU